AGCCAGGAGAAGACUCUACACACCGACCGGCGUCUUCGGCUUUUCCUCGCAGUCGAUUCAUGGGAGGUCAAGCUACACCAUGAAGAGGGAGCUGGGUGUAACAAAGUAAGGGGAUCUGAGGGAGAGACUGAUGCCUCAUGCAGCCUCCUCUCUACAAACGAGGGCCAAGAUGGUCAUCUGUGCUCCCAUUAGCCAACAUUCCUGCAUCAUCCCCUCGCUGGGAAAACAAAAGAGCCUUUUUUUUUUUUUUUUUUUUACCCCGGUGCUGUAAAUGUGGUUUACUCAGCUGCUGGCAUCUCUGCGGCUUUAAUAAGGAUGGGAUAAUCAGCUGUAUUUUGAUCCAGCAUGAAAACAGAUAUACUUCUGCAAAAGCUUUGGCAGGGACUUAAACAAAAAGCUGUUUAUUGGAUCGCAAAGGCACAAACACGGCUAAAAAGUCCCCCGGCUUGGCAACUGGACCAAUGGGCAGCCUCCGGGGUUUAGAUAGCACAGUGUGCUGUUUGGCAGGCGAGCUGUGAAAACCACAGAAAGUAAAUAUAAACCGUCCUCCCUGGUUCUCAU